rnacentral:rRNA from 1 species
GACGAACGCUGGCGGCGUGCUUAACACAUGCCAGUCGAACGGAAAGGCCCUGCUUUUGUGGGGUGCUCGAGUGGCGAACGGGUGAGUAACACGUGAGUAACCUGCCCUUGACUUUGGGAUAACUUCAGGAAACUGGGGCUAAUAACGGAUAGGAGCUCCUGCUGCAUGGUGGGGGUUGGAAAGUUUCGGCGGUUGGGGAUGGACUCGCGGCUUAUCAGCUUGUUGGUGGGGUAGUGGCUUACCAAGGCUUUGACGGGUAGCCGGCCUGAGAGGGUGACCGGCCACAUUGGGACGGAGAUACGGCCCAGACUCCUACGGGAGGCAGCAGUGGGGAAUAUUGCACAAUGGGCGGAAGCCUGAUGCAGCAACGCCGCGUGCGGGAUGACGGCCUUCGGGUUGUAAACCGCUUUCGCCUGUGACGAAGCGUGAGUGACGGUAAUGGGUAAAGAAGCACCGGCUAACUACGUG